CUACGAGUCGCACCAGUGAGGAAUAUUGCACAAUGGGGGGAACCCUGAUGCAGCAACGCCGCGUGGAGGAUGACGCAUUUCGGUGUGUAAACUCCUUUUAUAUGUCAAGAAAAUGACGGUAGCAUAUGAAUAAGCACCGGCUAACUCCGUGCCAGCAGCCGCGGUAAUACGGAGGGUGCAAGCGUUACUCGGAAUCACUGGGCGUAAAGGACGCGUAGGCGGGUUGGAAAGUCAGGUGUGAAAUCCUACAGCUUAACUGUAGAACUGCACUUGAAACUUCUAAUCUAGAGUAUGGGAGGGGGAGAUGGAAUUAGUGGUGUAGGGGUAAAAUCCGUAGAUAUCACUAGGAAUACCUAAAACGAAGGCGAUCUCCUGGAACAUUACUGACGCUAAGGCGUGAAAGCGUGGGGAGCAAACAGGAUUAGAUACCCGCGUAGUC
rnacentral:rRNA from 1 species